AACUCCUGGAGGAAGGACACCGGGUGGAAGAACUCCUGGAGGCAGAAUUCCCGGGGGGAGAAUUGGUGGCAAGAGACCUGGUGGUUUAACUAUAGGGGGUUUAACAAUGGGGGGUUUCACAACAGGAGGUUUGACAACGGGGGGUUUCACAACAGGGGGUUUGACAACGGGGGGUUUAACAACCGGGGGUUUGACAGUGGGAGGUUUGGGGGCAGGUUUGUGAUGGGGAGGGGGUUUCUCACAGCUACCGCAAUCGAGGACAGGGUUAGCAGUGGAGAAGAAGAACAUGGAAAGGAGAAGGAUAGCAGUGAGCUGAGUGGACUCCAUAGCUGGGU
rnacentral:lncRNA from 1 species